rnacentral:rRNA from 1 species
AGCAGUAGCCGCGGGAAUACGGAGGGUGCAAGCGUUAUCCGGAUUUAUUGGGUUUAAAGGGUCCGUAGGCGGACUUAUAAGUCAGUGGUGAAAGCCUGUCGCUUAACGAUAGAACUGCCAUUGAUACUGUAAGUCUUGAGUAUAUUUGAGGUAGCUGGAAUAAGUAGUGUAGCGGUGAAAUUCAUAGAUAUUACUUAGAACACCAAUUGCGAAGGCAGGUUACCAAGAUAUAACUGACGCUGAGGGACGAAAGCGUGGGUAGCGAACAGGAUUAGAUACCCGAGUAGUCCCUGUCUCUUAUAA